rnacentral:rRNA from 1 species
UACGAAGGGGGCUAGCGUUGUUCGGAUUUACUGGGCGUAAAGGGCGCGUAGGCGGAUUUUUAAGUCAGGGGUGAAAUCCCAAGGCUCAACCUUGGAACUGCCUUUGAUACUGGGAAUCUUGAGUCCGGGAGAGGUGAGUGGAACUGCGAGUGUAGAGGUGAAAUUCGUAGAUAUUCGCAAGAACACCAGUGGCGAAGGCGGCUCACUGGCCCGGAACUGACGCUGAGGCGGCGAAAGCGUGGGGAGCAAACAGG